GAUAGCUGGUUCUCCCCGAAAGCUAUUUAGGUAGCGCCUCGUGAAUUCAUCUCCGGGGGUAGAGCACUGUUUCGGCUAGGGGGCCAUCCCGGCUUACCAACCCGAUGCAAACUGCGAAUACCGGAGAAUGUUAUCACGGGAGACACACGGCGGGUGCUAACGUCCGUCGUGAAGAGGGAAACAACCCAGACCGCCAGCUAAGGUCCCAAAGUCAUGGUUAAGUGGGAAACGAUGUGGGAAGGCCCAGACAGCCAGGAUGUUGGCUUAGAAGCAGCCAUCAUUUAAAGAAAGCGUAAUAGCUCACUGGUCGAGUCGGCCUGCGCGGAAGAUGUAACGGGGCUAAACCAUGCACCGAAGCUGCGGCAGCGACGCUGAUGCGUUGUUGGGUAGGGGAGCGUUCUGUAAGCCUGCGAAGGUGGCCUGUGAGGGUUGCUGGAGGUAUCAGAAGUGCGAAUGCUGACAUAAGUAACGAUAAAGCGGGUGAAAAGCCCGCUCGCCGGAAGACCAAGGGUUCCUGUCCAACGUUAAUCGGGGCAGGGUGAGUCGACCCCUAAGGCGAGGCCGAAAGGCGUAGUCGAUGGGAAACGGGUUAAUAUUCCCGUACUUGGUGUUACUGCGAAGGGGGGACGGAGAAGGCUAUGUUGGCCGGGCGACGGUUGUCCCGGUUUAAGCGUGUAGGUGUGUGUUCCAGGUAAAUCCGGUUCACUUUAACACUGAGGCGUGAUGACGAGGCACUACGGUGCUGAAGCAACAAAUGCCCUGCUUCCAGGAAAAGCCUCUAAGCAUCAGGUAACAUCAAAUCGUACCCCAAACCGACACAGGUGGUCAGGUAGAGAAUACCAAGGCGCUUGAGAGAACUCGGGUGAAGGAACUAGGCAAAAUGGUGCCGUAACUUCGGGAGAAGGCACGCUGACACGUAGGUGAAGUGAUUUACUCAUGGAGCUGAAGUCAGUCGAAGAUACCAGCUGGCUGCAACUGUUUAUUAAAAACACAGCACUGUGCAAACACGAAAGUGGACGUAUACGGUGUGACGCCUGCCCGGUGCCGGAAGGUUAAUUGAUGGGGUCAGCGCAAGCGAAGCUCCUGAUCGAAGCCCCGGUAAACGGCGGCCGUAACUAUAACGGUCCUAAGGUAGCGAAAUUCCUUGUCGGGUAAGUUCCGACCUGCACGAAUGGCGUAAUGAUGGCCAGGCUGUCUCCACCCGAGACUCAGUGAAAUUGAACUCGCUGUGAAGAUGCAGUGUACCCGCGGCAAGACGGAAAGACCCCGUGAACCUUUACUAUAGCUUGACACUGAACAUUGAGCCUUGAUGUGUAGGAUAGGUGGGAGGCUUUGAAGUGUGGACGCCAGUCUGCAUGGAGCCGGCCUUGAAAUACCACCCUUUAAUGUUUGAUGUUCUAACGUGGACCCGUGAUCCGGGUUGCGGACAGUGUCUGGUGGGUAGUUUGACUGGGGCGGUCUCCUCCUAAAGAGUAACGGAGGAGCACGAAGGUUGGCUAAUCCUGGUCGGACAUCAGGAGGUUAGUGCAAUGGCAUAAGCCAGCUUGACUGCGAGCGUGACGGCGCGAGCAGGUGCGAAAGCAGGUCAUAGUGAUCCGGUGGUUCUGAAUGGAAGGGCCAUCGCUCAACGGAUAAAAGGUACUCCGGGGAUAACAGGCUGAUACCGCCCAAGAGUUCAUAUCGACGGCGGUGUUUGGCACCUCGAUGUCGGCUCAUCACAUCCUGGGGCUGAAGUAGGUCCCAAGGGUAUGGCUGUUCGCCAUUUAAAGUGGUACGCGAGCUGGGUUUAGAACGUCGUGAGACAGUUCGGUCCCUAUCUGCCGUGGGCGCUGGAGAACUGAGGGGGGCUGCUCCUAGUACGAGAGGACCGGAGUGGACGCAUCACUGGUGUUCGGGUUGUCAUGCCAAUGGCACUGCCCGGUAGCUAAAUGCGGAAGAGAUAAGUGCUGAAAGCAUCUAAGCACGAAACUUGCCCCGAGAUGAGUUCUCCCUGAGACUUAGAGUCUCCUGAAGGAACGUUGAAGACGACGACGUUGAUAGGCCGGGUGUGUAAGCGCAGCGAUGCGUUGAGCUAACCGGUACUAAUGAACCGUGAGGCUUAACCUUACA
rnacentral:rRNA from 1 species